GUAUGGUCGAAUCAUAAUUAGUUUCAAAAUUCAAACUGAAUACAGCACUCAUUUACGAUAAUACGUUAAUAAUAGAAAAUCAGAAAAUGAAAUUCAUAAAUAUUGCAUUAGGUGUGAUAUAUAUUGCAGUAUGCAUCCUUGCACUUGGUAGUGUCAACACAGAAGCCCAUUCCCGUAAACACCCGGAUAAGAAAUUUGGUCAAUCUGCGACAGUUAAAACAAAUACCUGAGCAUGGUCGUACCAUGUGUAGGCAGAAAUGGAUCCGGGCGUUAUGGUUUCCAAUUUCUUAACAGAAAAACAUUUAAAAUAAUAAUAAAAGUGUAGUUUUCAUUUCU